rnacentral:rRNA from 1 species
GACGAACGCUGGCGGCGUGCCUAAUACAUGCAAGUUGAGCGCUGAAGGUUGGUACUUGUACCGACUGGAUGAGCAGCGAACGGGUGAGUAACGCGUGGGGAAUCUGCCUUUGAGCGGGGGACAACAUUUGGAAACGAAUGCUAAUACCGCAUAAAAACUUUAAACACAAGUUUUAAGUUUGAAAGAUGCAAUUGCAUCACUCAAAGAUGAUCCCGCGUUGUAUUAGCUAGUUGGUGAGGUAAAGGCUCACCAAGGCGAUGAUACAUAGCCGACCUGAGAGGGUGAUCGGCCACAUUGGGACUGAGACACGGCCCAAACUCCUACGGGAGGCAGCAGUAGGGAAUCUUCGGCAAUGGACGAAAGUCUGACCGAGCAACGCCGCGUGAGUGAAGAAGGGUUUCGGAUCGUAAAACUCUGUUGGUAGAGAAGAACGUUGGUGAGAGUGGAAAGCUCAUCAAGUGACGGUAACUACCCAGAAAGGGACAGCUAACUACGUG